GCCUGACGCUGUGAUUUCAGCAUGUUAUGGCUGUCUUUCUCCUCAAGUUCCUUUACAGAUGCCAACCUCUAUCUUUUAUUAGGUAGCACAAAGGACAUCGACCCUGCAGCGUACACCUGUAUUGGAAGAGGUAUUUGUGCUCGGCUCGCCAUCCUUCUGGAACUACUGUUUAUCUGUUUUUAUAUGCGUCCUACAUCUGAGCCGCCUGCCUUCCCUGCUGUAAAGGACUGCUGGGAUCCAGUCCCUUUGCCUGCAAGCAGAUUGAGCUUUACACCUUCUGCAGUGCCGAUGCACGCCCAUCCAUCCCCUCACCCCGUGGUACCAGACACAGGCAGGCUGCAAGGAAGG